AGCAGCCGCCGCGGGAAUACGUAGGUGGCAAGCGUUGUCCGGAAUUAUUGGGCGUAAAGGGCUCGCAGGCGGUUUCUUAAGUCUGAUGUGAAAGCCCCCGGCUCAACCGGGGAAGGUCAUUGGAAAUUGGGAAACUUGAGUGCAGAAGAGGAGAGUGGAAUUCCACGUGUAGCGGUGAAAUGCGUAGAGAUGUGGAGGAACACCAGUGGCGAAGGCGACUCUCUGGUCUGUAACUGACGCUGAGGAGCGAAAGCGUGGGGAGCGAACAGGAUUAGAUACCCCCGUAGUCCCUGUCUCUUAUAC
rnacentral:rRNA from 1 species